rnacentral:lncRNA from 1 species
CCUACCUAUUCUUUCUAGUUUAUUUCUAAAUAAAAUAAACGAAAUAGGUAGCGUGCUAUCUAUUUCUCAAAAAAAAAAGAAAAAAAACUUCUACUACAGACUACAGCUUAAGGCAGAAAUGAAAGCUUCAGUGAUGGAAUGCAGUUUAGCCGUCUGCCUAGCUGGAACUGACUUUCAAUUGCUGGUGGGAGCUUUGUUAGUUAAUUCGCGAAUUAUUCACGAAUUAUUUACGAAUUAUUGAAAAUUCGAAUUAAACGGUUUGUUUACGAAUUUUUUUUCAAAAAAAUAGAAUUAUUCGUGAAUUUUUGGGCCAGCUGAAUAAUUCGCGAAUUAUUAAAAAUCUGAAUAAAAAUCUUAUAAUUUUUAUGUUUAAAUAUGGAUUAUCUUAUAUUUUAUAUCUUAUAUUUUAUAUUUUGUACUGAAUCAAUUUUUUAAGCCAAAUUUUUCAACAAAUUCAAAAAUUAGAAAACGAAUUUUAUGCGUAUUAUAUCUGUACCGAAUUUUUGCUGAAUCCGAAUUAACUAACUAUGGGUGGGAGUUAAUUACUUUAGGGCAUGUUUGGUUCGCCUCUUUUUCACCCUAGAAUCGAAGUCGGAAUAGACGAAUCCGUUAGUUCGUAUUUGGUAUGUGGAAUUUUUAUUCCGAUUUCGAUUUCCGGACGAGUGGAAAUCCCCCAAUUAUCUCUUUUUCUAAUCCGGUCUCCUAGUUUGGAUUGAAAAUUAAAUCGGGACAGAAUGGAUUUCUUCGGAUUAAAUUUAAUUUUUUUUAAAUUUAUUUUUUAAUAAAAAUAUAAGUUUAAGUUUAAAUAUUAUAUUUAUAAAUUUUAAUUUUAAUUUGAACUUAAAUUAAAAAUUAAAAUUCAAUCAGGCAUUUCGAAUCUAAUUUAUAAAUUUGAAUUUAAAUACAAAUUUUAUUUAAAAUUUAAAUUAUAUUUAUGGAUUCAUAUUGAAAUUGAAAUUAUAAUUUUAGGUUUGAAUUUGAAUAUCGAAAUUUAGUUUUAUAUUUUGAAUUAUUCGUUCAAUCUCAAUUUUUAAUAAUUUUUUAAAAAAUAUUUAAAAGUUUGGCAUCAUUUUAAAAUUUUAAUAUUUAAUUUUAAGUUUGAAUUUAAACUAAUAUAUUGUAAAGAUAAAAUUGACAUGUUAAUUUGACUAUGUUUUUAAUAUCUAUCCGAACCAAACACCAAUGAUGAAAAUGAUUCAUUCCGAUUCCGAUUCAGAUGGCGAACCAAACAGAAUGAGGUAAUGAAUCAUUCCGACUCCGUUUCCAGCUUAUUCUCAUUUCGAUUCCGAUACUGAUUCCGACUUCGAAUCAAACACAUUCUCCCUUAUUGGUAUUCCAGAAUAUUACGCUUAUAAAUCGAUAAAUAAGUUCAAAAAAACACAAAUCAUAUAUUUUGGACUGCGCGCAUGUAUA